GACUCACUGACAGUUAGUGUGGCUCCUCUAUUUGGAUUCUGAACUGAGCUGCAGCCCCACCUCUGGAGCCAUCCCUGGGUGGUAGCGAAGAGUGUGCAAGCAGUACCAUCGCUUAGAGCACAGGGCCCUGGACCGGUUCUGUUGCUGCCCCAUGGCACAUGCAUAAAUAAAAAUGUUUUUGGAAACAUUAA